rnacentral:tRNA from 1 species
CAAAAUGUAGCUUAACCAGCAAAGCACCUCCCUUACACCGAGAAGAUACCCGAGCAAUUCGAGUCAUUUUGA